rnacentral:rRNA from 1 species
UACGUAGGGUGCGAGCGUUAAUCGGAAUUACUGGGCGUAAAGCGUGCGCAGGCGGUUUUGUAAGCCAGAUGUGAAAUCCCCGGGCUUAACCUGGGAAUGGCAUUUGGGACUGCAAGGCUGGAGUGUGGCAGAGGAGACUGGAAUUCCUGGUGUAGCGGUGAAAUGCGCAGAUAUCGGGAGGAACACCAAUGGCGAAGGCAGCUCGCUGGGACGGUACUGACGCUGAGACGCGAAAGCGUGGGGAGCAAACAGG